UACGUAGGGUGCAAGCGUUAAUCGGAAUUACUGGCGUAAAGCGUGCGCAGGCGGUUUUGUAAGUUUGUCGUGAAAGCCCCGGGCUCAACCUGGGAAUUGCGAUGAAGACUGCAAGGCUUGAAUCUGGCAGAGGGGGGUAGAAUUCCACGUGUAGCAGGUGAAAUGCGUAGAGAUGAUGGAGGAACACCGAUGGCGAAGGCAGCCCCCUGGGUCAAGAUUGACGCUCGAUGCA
rnacentral:rRNA from 1 species